UUCACUGGGGGUUCAGUCUUAGCAGGACCCAGGGCUUCCCCUUCCACUGGUGCUCUUACUAGGAUAUUCAUUGCUACCUAUGGGGUCAGAGUCCAGGGUCAGUCCAUAUAUAGUCUUUAGGUAGUGGCUUAGUCCCUGGAAGCUCUGGUUGCUUGACAUUGUUGUACUUUUGGGGUCUCGAGCCCCUUCAAGCUCUUCCAGUUCUUUCUCUGAUUCCUUCAACGGGGGACCUAUUCUCAGCUCAGUGGUUUGCUGCUGGCAUUCGCCUCUGUAUUUGCUGUAUUCUGGCUGUGUCUCUCAGGAGCGAUCUACAUCCGGCUCCUGUCGGUCUGCACUUCUUUGCUUCAUCCAUCUUGUCCAAUUGGGUGGCUGUAUAUGUAUGGGCCACCUGUGGGGCAGGCUCUGAAUGGGUGUUCCUUCAGUCUCUGUUUUAAUCUUUGCCUCUCCCUUCCCAGCCAAGGGUAUUCUUUUUCCUCAUUUAAAGAAGGAGUGAAGCAUUCACAUUUUCAUCAUCCGUCUUGAGUUUCGUUUGUUCUAGGGAUCUAGGGUAAUUCAAGCAUUUGGGCUAAUAGCCACUUAUCAAUGAGUGCAUACCAUGUAUGUCUUUCUGUGAUUGGGUUAGCUCACUCAGGAUGAUAUUUUCCAGUUCCAACCAUUUGCCUACGAAUUUCAUAGACUCGUUGUUUUUGAUAGCUGAGUAAUAUUCCAUUGUGUAGAUGUACCACAUUUUCUGUAUCCAUUCCUCUGUUGAAGGGCAUCUGGGUUCUUUCCAUUUUCUGGCUAUUAUAAAUAAGGAUGCGAUGAACAUAGUGGAGCACGUGUCUCUUUUAUAUGUUGAGGCAUCUUUUGGGUAUAUGCCCAAGAGAGGUAUAGCUGGAUCCUCAGGCAGUUCAAUGUCCAAUUUUCUGAGGAACCUCCAGACUGAUUGUUUCUCUUUUGUAUAGAGGAAGGCAACUGAUUUAUUUGAGUUAAUUUUAUACCCAGCCACUUUGUUGAAGGUGUUUAUCAGGUUUAGUAGUUCUCUGGUGGAACUUUUGGGAUCACUUAAAUAUACUAUCAUAUCAUCUGCAAAUAGUGAUAUUUUGACCUCUUCUUUUCUGAUCUGUAUCCCCUUGAUCUCCUUUUGUUGUCUGAUUGCUCUGGCUAGAACUUCAAGAACUAUAUUGAAUAAGUAGGGAGAGAGUGGGCAGCCUUGUCUAGUCCCUGAUUUUAGUGGGAUUGCUUCGAGUUUCUCUCCAUUUUGUUUAAUGUUAGCAACUGGUUUGCUGUAUAUGGCUUUUACUAUGUUUAGGUAUGGGCCUUGAAUUCCUAUACUUUCCAGGACUUUUAUCAUGAAGGGGUGUUGAAUUUUGACAAAUGCUUUCUCAGCAUCUAAUGAAAUGAUCAUGUGGUUCUGUUCUUUCAGUUUGUUUAUAUAAUGGAUCACGUUGAUGGUUUUCCAUAUAUUAAACCAUCCCUGCAUGCCUGGGAUGAAGCCUACAUGAUCAUGGUGGAUGAUUGUUUUGAUGUGCUCUUGAAUUCGGUUUGCCAGAAUUUUAUUGAGUAUUUUUGCGUCGAUAUUCAUAAGGGAAAUUGGUCUGAAGUUCUCUUUCUUUGUUGGGUCUUUGUGUGGUUUAGGUAUGAAAGUAAUUGUGGCUUCAUAGAAGGAAUUCGGUAGUCCUCCAUCUGUUUCAAUUUUGUGGAAUAGUUUGGAUAAUAUUGGUAUGAGGUCUUCUAUGAAGGUUUGAUAGAAUUCUGCACUAAACCCGUCUAGACCUGGGCUCUUUUUGGUUGGGAGACCUUUAAUGACUGCUUCUAUUUCCUUAGGAGUUAUGGGGUUGUUUAACUGGUUUAUCUGUUCCUGAUUUAACUUCGAUACCUGGUAUCUGUCUAGGAAAUUGUCUGUUUCCUGAAGAUUUUCAAGUUUAGUUGAAUAUAGGUUUUUAUAGUAAGAUCUGAUGAUUUUUUGAAUUUCCUCUGAAUCUGUAGUUAUGUCUCCCUUUUCAUUUCUCAUUUUGUUAAUUUGGACUCACUCUCUGUGUCCUCUCAUUAGUCUGGCUAAGGGUUUAUCUAUCUUGUUGAUUUUCUCAAAGAACCAACUUUUGGUUCUGUUGAUUCUUUCUAUGGUCCUUUUUGUUUCUACUUGGUUGAUUUCAGCUCUGAGUUUGAUUAUUUCCUGCCUUCUACUCCUCCUGGGUGUAUUUGCUUCUUUUUGUUCUAGAGCUUUUAGGUGUUCUGUCAAGCUGCUGACAUAUGCUCUUUCCUGUUUCUUUCUGCAGGCACUCAGCACUAUGAGUUUUCCUCUUAGCACAGCUUUCAUUGUGUCCCAUAAGUUUGGGUAUGCUGUACCUUCAUUUUCAUUAAAUUCUAAAAAUUUUUUAAUUUCUUUCUUUAUUUCUUCCUUGACCAGGUUAUCAUUGAGUAGAGCAUUGUUCAAUUUCCACGUAUAUGUGGGCAUUCUUCCCUUAUCGUUAUUGAAGACCAGUUUUAGGCCGUGUUGGUCCGAUAGCACGCAUGGGAUUAUUUCUAUCUUUCUGUGCCUGUUGAGACCCGUUUUUUGACCAAUUAUAUGGUCAAUUUUGGAGAAAGUUGCAUGAGGAGCUGAGAAGAAGGUAUAUCCUUUUGCUUUAGGAUAGAAUGUUCUAUAAAUAUCCGUUAAGUCCAUUUGGCUCAUGACUUCUCUUAGUCUGUCGACAUCACUGUUUAAUUUCUGUUUCCAUGAUCUGUCCAUUGAUGAGAGUGGGGUGUUGAAAUCUCCCACUAUUAUUGUGUGAGGUGCAAUGUGUGUUUUGAGCUUCAGUAAGGUUUCUUUUACGUAUGUAGGUGCCCUUGUAUUUGGGGCAUAGAUAUUUUUUUUAACCAGCAUCAAAGAUAUUUUCAUUAAAAUCAGAAAAAAGACAAGAAAGUUGAUUCUUCCUGUCUUAUCCAGUACAGUAUUAGGAGAAUAAUUUGAAUAGGAUAUGAUGGGGCAUAGAUAUUUAGGAUUGAGAGUUCAUCUUGGUGGAUUUUUCCUUUGAUGAAUAUGAAGUGUCCUUCCUUAUCUUUUUUGAUGACUUUUAGUUGAAAAUUGAUUUUAUUUGAUAUUAGAAUGGCUACUCCAGCUUGCUUCUUCUGACCAUUUCUUGGAAAGUUGUUUUCCAGCCUUUCACUCUGAGGUAGUGUCUGUCUUUGUCUCUGAAGUGUGUUUCCUGUAGGCAGCAGAAUGCAGGGUCCUCCUUGCGUAUCCAGUUUGUUAAUCUAUUUCUUUUUAUUGGGGAGUUGAGGCCAUUGAUGUUCGGAGAUAUUAAGGAAUAGUGAUUAUUGCUUCCCGUUAUAUUCAUAUUUGGAUGUGAGGUUAUGUGUGUGUGCUUUCAUUCUCUUUGUUUUGUUGCCAAGUCGAUUAGUUUCUUGUUUCAUCUAGGGUAUAGCUUGCCUCCUUAUGUUGGGCUUUACCAUUUAUUAUCCUUGGUAGUGCUGGAUUUGUAGAAAGAUACUGUGUAAAUUUGGUUUAGUCAUGGAAUAUCUUGGUUUCUCCAUCUAUGUUAAUUGAGAGUUUUGCAGGAUACAGUAACCUGGUCUGGCAUUUGUGUUCUCUUAGGGUCUGUAUGACAUCAUUCCAGGAUUUUCUGGCCUUCAUAUUUUCAGGCGAGAAGUCUGGUGUGAUUCUGAUAGGUCUGCCUUUAUAUGUUACUUGACCUUUUUCCCUUACUGCUUUUAAUAUUCUUUCUUUAUUUUGUGCGUUUGGUGUUUUGACAAUUAUGUGAGGGGAGGUGUUUCUUUUCUGGUCCAAUCUAUUUGGAGUUCUGUAGACUUCUUGUAUGUCCAUGGGUAUCUCUUUUUUUAGGUGAGGGAAGUUUUCUUCUAUGAUUUGGUUGAAGAUAUUUACUGGUCCUUUGAGCUGGGAGUCUUCACUCUCUUCUAUACCUAUUAUCCUUAGGUUUGAUCUUCUCAUUGAGUCCUGGAUUUCCUGUAUGUUUUGGACCAGUAGCUUUUUCUGCUUUACAUUAUCUUUGACAGUUGAGUCAAUGAUUUCUAUGGAAUCUUCUGCUCCUGAGAUUCUCUCUUCCAUCUCUUGUAUUCUGUUGGUGAAGCUUGUAACUAUAGCUCCUUGUCUCUUCUUUUGGUUUUCCAUAUCCAGGGUUGUUACCAUGUGUUCUUUCUUGAUUUCUUCUAUUUCCAUUUUUUUUUUUGCUUCUUUUUUUUUUUUCCGGAGCUGGGGACCGACUAUUUCCAUUUUUAAUUCCUUCAACUGUUUGAUUGUUUUUUCCUGGAAUUCUUUCAGGGUUUUUUGCGAUUCUUUCAGGGAUUUUUGUGAUUCCUCUCUGUAGGCUUCUACUUGUUUAUUAAUGUUUUCCUGUGUUUCCCUAAGGGAGUUCUUCACGUCUUUCUUGAAGUCCUCCAAAUCAUGAUCAAAUAUGAUUUUAAAACUAGAUCUUGCUUUUCUGGUGUGUUUGGAUAUUCCAUGUUUGCUUUGGUGGGAGAAUUGGGCUCCGAUGAUGGCAUGUAGUCUUGGUUUCUGUUGCUUGGGUUCCUGCGCUUGCCUCUCGCCAUCAGAUUAUCUCUAGUGUUACUUUGUUCUGCUAUUUCUGACAGUGGCUAGACUGUCCUAUAAGCCUGUGUGUCAAGAGUGCUGUAGACCUGUUUUCCUCUCUUUCAGUCAGUUAUGGGGACAGAGUGUUCUGCUUUCUGGCAUGUAGUUUUUCCUCUCUACAGGUCUUCAGCUGUUCCUGUGGGCCUGUGUCUUGAGUUCACCAGGCAGCUUUCUUGCAGCAGAAAAGUUGGUCUUACCUGUGGUCCCGAGGCUCAAGUUCACUCGUGGGGUGCUGCCCACGGGCUCUAUGCAGCGGCAGCAACCAGGAAGAUAUGUGCCGCCCCUUCCGGGAGCUUCAGUGCACCAGGGUUCCAAAUGGCCUUUGGUGUUUUCCUCUGGCGUCCGAGAUGUGUGUGCAGAGAGCAGUCUCUUCUGGUUUCCCAGGCUUGUCUGCCUCUCUGAAGGUUUAGCUCUCCCUCCCACGGGAUUUGGGUGCAGAGAACUGUUUAUCCGGUCUAUUUCCUUCAGGUUCCGGUGGUGUCUCAGGCCGGAGUCCUGCUGCUCCUGCGCCCUCCCCCACGGGAGCCCAGAUGCCUCAUACAGUUUCCUCUUGGGCCAGGGAUGUGGGCAGGGGUGGGCAGUGUUGGUGGUCUCUUCCACUCUGCAGCCUCAGGAGUGUCCAUUACUAUCCCUUUCAACAGAAGAACACAGGUCUAUAUUGUCAGUUACCCAAACAUACACAGAAGCUUAGGGUACAUGAAUUGAAGCUUUAUUUUAAUAUAGAAAACUUUGUUGUGUAUGUUUAUUAUUAGUAAGUAAGAUUUUGCUUGCUCUGGUGUUCAUCUUCACUUAAAAUCACCACCGGUUAAUGUUGAUGGAGAUAAUAACAAGUAAAUAUCUGGUGAAACGGAAGAUUCAGAACAAGAGCUUCUAAUAAGACUGUAUCAACUUUCCCAAAGAUUACAUCCACUGCACUAUAUAAAGGCCACUUAUAGAUUAUUUGUUUAAUACAAUAGAUCUGGUGGUUAUUGAUAUACACUCAGUAAACCUUCCAAUGACAACACAUAGUAAUUUUAGUAAGUAUGUACAACAUCUAUUCACAGAAAUUUUCUUUUAAAUGUAUUCAAGAAAUUAAAUAUGAUUGCAAUAUUUUUAUUUGCCUGUUAAUUUUAGGUUACUGAACAGGUUGCAUUGGCUAUGCUUGAAGUAACAAGUCUAAUGAUUUUCUAUGUUCUCUGGAAUUUCUUCUAUGCAAGAAAGCUUGAGUACAGAAGUUUUAUAUUGGAUCUCCCCCUCACAAAUAUCUUAAUUUUCCAAGUAUCAAAUAGUAUAUUUUACUAUUAGUCCAUUAGUACUCUCCCCAUUUAGUCCCAUAUUCUCUGUUGAGAUUCUUUUCAUAUAACACUAGCAGGCACUAUAGGAAACUUCUAGUGUCAUUCUAAGAAAAAUGCCAUUUCUACUAUACAGUUUGUGUGGUGGCUUAAAGGUAACAUUUCUUUGUUACAUCAAAGUUACAAUAGUCUACUAGACAUUAUUAUUAUGUACUAUAAUUCAGGCAUCUAUAAAUAGCACUAAAGAACCAUGCCACUGAGAGAUAAUAGUGAAUUAGGAGAUUGCUUAAUUUUGGAGCCCAGAGUCACAGUCAUAAGAGCAUGUAGAAAUGAAGGCAUUUUUCUAUGUAGCCAGGAUCUAGAGUCAAGCAGGUAGAUGCAGGAGAGCCCUGAGGCACCACUGGCUGGCUUUAUUUUAUUAUCAGUUGAUAUCUAUGUCUAGAGUAAAUUACAUUUCCUUCUGUCUUCGCCUUUCAAACUUUCUUCUGCAUUUCCUGCAAUAUGGGUUGAUGGAGUGACAUAUGUAUCAAUAGCUCCCUCAGAGAUCUCCAAACUUACCACAGAUUUUGUUUUUAAUAUCGAAGUGUGAUAUCUCUGUUUUUGAAUGAUUCUUUGUCCAUUCCCUAUUGGAAUGCACAUAAAUGUCAAAUCAGAGGCAACCUGUGCUAAUAAAGGUCUCUGAAGCCAGUAUUUUCACACCAGUCUCCGGAUUAGAGUCCAGUUCUCAAGUGGAUCUAGCCAAAGCCUGACUAUAAGAUGCUCCAGAGAAGGACGUCUCUUGAAUCCUGCAGGUGACAAAGCUAAUGAAAUCCCAGCAUGAGCAGGUACUUGCAGGUAUCCCCUUUGCUCCUUCUCUGAGAUACCUCCUUGCAUUUCCUGUGCAAGUAAUGCUUUCCUGCUUUUGAUUUAAAAUCUUCAGCCCUGCCUCAGUUUUAGAUCCUAUACAUCUUGUAGAUUUAGAUAUAAGGAAUAUAAUUUGAUUUGGGAACCAGUAUCAAUGAAGUCUAACUGACUGUCUUCCUUGUUAUCAUAGUGCUGCCAUCAAGGGUUUCAAAUGCUAACUUUCCAAUCCAUAUUUUAUAGUCAUCUUGCCUUGGGAAAUAAUAGUUCAUAUGUUGUGCUUUAUCUUCCAUGCAUGCCAGUCCCUCUCUAUGAGGUCAGGCAAGUGAUGAGAGUCUUGGAACAUUGUUUCUCUGUAGGUUUGGACUAAUAUUUUAUCUCAUUAUUGCAAGAAAUUUAGCCACUACAUUUUUGUAAUAUGCCUCGAGAAUGUUUCCUACACUGCCUGGGCAAGGAAAACACAAACCCAGUUCUCAUGAAGACUAAAAUGGAAUUGCUAUGUGUUUCAUGGAAUUAAGGUACUAGGACAAAUGGAUCAAAUCAAAAAUCAAUUUGAAUCUUGGGUACCUCCCAUAUCCAAGGUCUCUGUCAAUUCCUAAACACUCUCAACCAUCCAUCACCAACACUGGUAGGUGCAUACUUCCAUUCAUUCUCCUAGUGCUCUGAGCCUCACUCCUGUCCCUCCACAAAGCUGAUCCUGCCUCCUAUCCCCCUUCUACUCUCCUCUCCAACCCAGCUCCCCCUUCUUUCUGACACCCUCGAAAAUUUAAUUCCCCUUCUAAUUACGAUUUAAGCAUCCUUACUUGGACUUUCCCUCUUCUUUCCCUCUUUUGGUUUUGUGAGGUGUAUUAUGGAUAUUCUGUACUUUUGGAUAAUAUCUAAUUAUCACUGAAUAUACACAAUACUUGUCGCUUUGGGUCUGGGUUACCUCAUGCAGGAUGAUAUUUUUCAGUUCAAUCAAUUUGCCAGCAAAAUUAAUAAUUCCCUUUCUUUUAACAUCUGAAUGGUACACCAUAGUGUAAAUGAACCAUAUCUUCUGUAUCCAUUUUUCAGUUGGUGGGUGUUUGGAUCUCUUUUAUUUUCCAGCUAUUAGUAAUAAACCCUUGUGAUAUACUGGAACAUCUUUUGGGUAUAUGCUUAGAAAUAGUAUAGCUAGAUCUUCAGGGAGCACAUUUCUCAACUUUCUGAUAAACUGCCAGGUUCAUUUCCAUAGUGGUUGUACAAGUUUGAGGCUGCAUCAGCAGUAGAAAAGUGUUGCUCUUUUUCUACAUGCUUGCAUUGUUGCUUGAUUUUUUUACCUUUGCAAUUCUGAUUGGUGUAGUCUGAAAUAUCAUGGUGGAUGUGCAUGGCUGAAGUCAAAAUGAGGACAGGGAAAGUGAAGAAAUCACCUCCAGCAACCAGAGACUGCCUCCAUUGGAAGUAUGGGGACACCAACCUACCUAUAAAACUUUUGACCCAAAAUUGUUCCUUUCUAAAAGAAAUGUACAGAAAAAUAUGGAGCAGAGACUAAAUGGCCAAUGAGCAGCCUAUCCCCUACCCCUAUCCCCACUCCCAUCCACAAUAUAUGAAUCUGAGAACUGCCUUGACUGGCCUCAGUGGGAGAGGAUGCACAUAAUCUUGCACAAACUUGAUAGGUUAAGGUGGGGAUACCCAGAGUAAGUCAAAAUAUAAGCACAGAGAACCUAGUGCAUGCAGAAACAAGCCCAGUUCAUGUGACUUCAGUGGGUCUGUGAGUUCCUAUGAACGUUGCUUUUGUUGAUUAUGAUUUCAGAGUGUCCUCGAUCUCCAUCUCUGAGAUUCUUGGAGCUUCCUUUACUCUGAGCUCUCACGGUAGAUUUUAAUGGAGACAUCCUAUUUAGACCUUAGUGUUUCUCUCUUUUGCUUUUUGUGUCUUGUCUGCCAGUGGGUCUCUUUAUUUGUUCUUAUCUGCUGCAGCUGGAAACUUCUUUGAUGAUGGUUACAAAAAGCAUUAAUCCUCCAUGGUUCUCUUGAUUGUGGCUUGGUUAACAAGGACUGCAAUCUAAGAAUUACAUAGUAGAAGUUGCAUCCCAUAUUUUUUUGUCGGAGUCUGACUUACCUGUAUUAGAAUAUUUUCCCAGAUCAAUAAAUUUGCAUGCAAUUUUUUUGAUUCUAUUGCUUUUAAUGGCUGAGUAAUAUGCAAUUGUGUUAGCAUACUCAAUUUAUCAAUUUUCCGUUGAGGAUCAUCUUGAUUGCCUUUAAUUUAUGUCUCUUAGGAAGAGAGAAACAAUGGACAUAGUUGAUCAAGUUGUCUCUGUGGUGGUGUGAAUCACAUUUUGGGUUUCUUGCUAAGCUGGUUCAAACUGGAGCAUAAAGACUGAAUUUUGUCUUCUGGAUGAACUGCCACCCUGAUUUUCAUAGUAGCAAUACAUUACAGCAGUUUGUGGGAACUCCAGAUGAGAUAAUGCUGUGUGAAAAUCACUGAGGGAAUCAAAAGGAAAAAAUGUUUUCUUUCCGUAUGAAGUAAUAGCACCAAACUGAAGAGGAAUAAAGCUCAAACUUCACUUUUGAUAUUGUAAGCCUGUUGAAUUUAUGUGGUUACUAGGAUGGCUGUAAAUAUGCAUUGCGGAUUAUAUUUCUGUACAUAAAUACCCCAUAACUUUCUGUUGUUCAAGCCUAAAACCUCAGCUAUUCUCAGGAGAAAAAUGUUAUGCUAUUCACUUGCUCAUAUAAAUUGUGCUCAGACCUUAGCAGCAAACUGUCACGACAGUCCUCUCAUCAAGGCUGACCAGGCUUAGGUUGUAUUCUUGGUAACAACUAAUUUACAUCUGAACUUCAUUAACUUUAUGGUGAAGUGAAAUUUCCUUCCUCAUUAGGAAAUAACUAAAAACCAUGAAAUGUAGAGAGUACAAAUACAAAAUGUAUUAGACAUAGAUUCUCGAAAAUUCAGUAUUGCUCUUUUUGUUUAAAUCAAAUCAGCUAAUGGACUGAUUACACCUUAACUCCUGGAGCCAUUUGUUACACCCUGGGUCUAGCUUACUCUACCAAUUAAUGUUAGACUAACAGUAAGGAAGGCUGGCAAUUGCUCAUGUACUCCUGACAACAAAUUGAGGAAAUAAUUUGCAGAAGCUAUAUGCACUAAUUCAUGUCUUUGAAUUCCUUGGCUCUAACAACUUUGGAUACUUAUGCCGGGAGCCAAGCCAAUUUAUACACCCACUGUCUCAGGUAUGUUUCAGGAAUGUCAAGUCCACAUACACACUCUGAGAAACCUAGCCAGUUAGAUGUUCUCAUCAGUAAACCUGCAAUAUAUGGUUUAGCGUUACAGGAACCAAAAGAACAAUGGGGGAGGUUGGGGUGAUUGUGACCAUCGUCAAAUUGGUCUUGGGCUCUGCAUGGCCUUUUCGCUUGCUUGCUUGUCUUUGUAAGCCACUUCCCAGAAAUAAAGUUUGAGUGCUUGAUCUGAAAAGAAAAAGCCAUCUUUUCUCAGGAUCAAAAGGUUGUAUUGUCUUUUUAUGACCAAUGCAGACACCAUAUGCCUGAGGUACACAAACCUGACUAUAUGCAAAAACAAAACAAAAAAAAACCCCACAAACAUAUACAUAAAAUUAAAAUUCAUAAAUCUUUUUAAUGUCUUUUUCCAUCUUUAUUAAAUUGGGCAUUUCUUAUUUACAUUUCAAAUGUUAUUCUCUCCCAGGUUUGUUAAUCUGUGUCUUUUCAAUGGGGAAUUGAGUCCAUUGAUGUUGAGAGAUAUUAAGGAAUAGUGAUUGUUGCUUUCUGUUAUCUUCGUAUUUAGAGGUGAGAUUAUGUUUGUGUGCUUGCCUUCUAUUUGUUUCUUGCUUUUUCUAGGAUGUAGCUUGCCUCUUUAUGUUGGGCUUUACCAUUUAUUAUCAUUUGUAGAAUGGAUUUGUAGAAAGAUUUUGUGUAAAUGUGGUUUUGCCAUGGAAUAUAUUGGUUGCUCCAUCUGUGUUAAUUGAGAGUUUUGCUGGAUACAGUAACCUGGGCUGGCAUUUAUGUUCUCUUAGGAUCUGUAUGACAUCUAUCCAGGAGCUUCUGGCUUUCAUAGUCUCUGGUGCAAAAUCUGGUGUGAUUCUGAUAGGUCUGCCUUUAUAUGUUACUUGACCUUUUUCCCUUACUGCUUUUAAUAUUCUUUCUUUGUUUUGUCCAUUUAGUGCUUUGACUAUUAUGUGAAAAGAGGAGUUUCUUUUCUGGUCCAAUCUAUUUGGAGUUCUGUAGGCUUCUUGGAUGUUUAUGGGCAUCUCUUUCUUUAGUAUAGAGAAGUGUUCUUCUAUGAUUUUGUUGAAGAUAUUUACUGGUACUUUGAGUUGGGAAACUUCACUGUCUUCUAUACCUAUUAUCCUUAGGUUUGAUCUUCUCUUGUGUCCUGGAUUUCCUGUAGGUUUUGUGCCAGUAGCUUUUUCUCUUUUACAUUAUCUUUGACAGUUGUGUCAAUGCUUUCUAUGGAAUCUUCUGCUCCUGAGAUUCUCUCUUCUAUCUCUUUAUUGUUUCGAUUUCAAUUUUCAAUUCCUUCCCCUGUUUGAUUGUGUUUUCCUGUAAUUCUUUUGGGAAAUUUUGUAUUUCCUCUCUAAGGGCUUCUACUUGUUUACUUGCAAUUUCCUGCAUUUCUUUAAGGAAGUUAUUAUGUCUUUCUUAAAGUUCUCCAUUAUUUUCAAAAAAUGUGAUUUUAAAUAGAAAUCUUGCUUUUCUGUUGUGUUUGGAUAUCCAGUAUUUCCUUUGGUGGGAGAAUUGGGUUGUGAUGAUGCCAUGUAGUCUUAGUUUUUGUUGCUUGGAUUCCUGAGCAUGCCUCUCACCAUCAGGCUCUCUCUGGUAUUACCUUGUUUAGCUAUUUCUGACAGUGGCUUGUCUGUCUUAUAGGCCUCUGUGUCAGGAGUGCUGUAGACCUGUUUUCCUGCUUUCUCUCAGCCAGUUAUGGGAACAGAGUGUUCUGCUUUCAGACGUGUAGUCAUUCCUGUUUACUAGCUUUCAGCUGUUCCUGUGGGCAUGUAUCUUAAGUCCACCAGACAGGUCACGUGGAGCAGAAAAGUUGAUCUUUCCUCUGGUCUCAAGCCUGAAGUCCCUCAUCUGGGCUCGUUUUCAGCUCUUUGUGAGGGCAGCAACCAGAAGGGCCUGCCCCCUCUUCUGGGUCCCUGUGUACAGGGGACUUGAUAGUACUAGCUCUUUUCAUCUAGAGUCAGAAAUUUGGGCAGAGAGUAGUCUCCUCUGGUUUCCCGGUGUGUAUUCCCCUCUGAAGAUCUAACUCUCCCUUUGGCAGGAUUUGGUUGCAGGGACCUAUUUGACUGGGUCCCUGCAUAUCAGGAUGCAGUCUGGACCAAAUGCCUCCUGCAGCUUUACUGCCCCUAUCUUCCUGUGCCUAUAGUCCCUAUACAGUUUCCACUUUGGCGAGGGAUGUGGGGAAAGGAGGGCAAAAGUGGCAGUCUCUCCUGCCCUGCAAUUUCUAUUGGCCACAUGUCUGGGUGAUGAUGGAUGAAGCAAAGAGGUGCAGCCUGACAGGAACUGGAUGCAGAUCUCUCCUGAGAGACACAGCCAGAAUAUGGCAAAUACAUAGGCAAAUGCCAGCAACAAAAAAACUGUACUGAGAAUGGGACCCACGUUGAAGGAAUCAGAGAAAAGACUGAAAGAGCUGAAGGGGGUUGAGACCCCAUAUGAACAACAAUGCCGACCAACCAGUGCUUUCAGGGACUAAGCCAUUACCCAAAGACUAUAUACAUGGACUGACACUGGCCUCCAAAUUCGUAGGUAGCAAUGAAUAGACUAGUUGGGGCACCAAUGGAAGGAGAAGCCCUUGGCCCAGCGAAGGCUGGAUAUCCAGUGAAUGGUAUUCUUGGAUGUAGUAAUGGGGGGAGGAUGGGGCGGCGAGCACGCAAAUAGAAUGGAAGCGGUUAGGGGGAUGUUGGCCUGGAAACCAGGAAAGGGCAUAACAUUUUAAAUGUAAAUAAGAAAUACUUAAUUUAAUAAAGAUGGAGGAAAAAUAAGAGAAAGAUCUGUUCAUUUGUAGACAACUUCAUUGGGACUGAGAGACCUGAACUCAUUUAAUGAUUUUUUCAGAAAUCAAAGAAGCUAGUACUUGAGCUAACUUAUAGAUCUCAGGAGAAGAUGCAUGGACUUUUUCCUCAUAAAAGAAUUAUCACCAGAAUACUGAUGCAUAGAUAGAUAUCUGUCUCAUUACUUUACUGUAGCCUCCAUAAGGAAUGGAAUGUAUGACCUCUGAGGGAGAGAAACACUUCAUCAUGAGUAGCAUUUUUUAAAUGGAGUGUUAAGACAAUGACUACUAUGAAUGAGCAUAUAGUACUCUGCUGAUCUUGUCAACUAUAUUAGGUCCUAGAGUUACCCAUUAUUACAUGCAAGAAGUGAAAAAUGUAAGAAAAAUAUUUCUAGGGACCCAGGAUAUUGUUCAGUGUUAGAAAAAUUCACUGAAUAGAUUAAAUUGUGUUUCACUCUGUAAUAGUAGAAAUUUCAGGCAAAUUAAAAAUAUAUACUAACUCGAUCAAAAGGAGACUUAACGCGUGCGUGUUUGUGUGCUUGUGUGUGUGUGUGUGUGUGUGUGUGUUCAAAAACAUCAAAUUUCUCAUAGGCAGAACUUUUUUCCACAUCAGGGGACAGAUGGAUAGCAUAUGAAAAUUCGAUUCCUCUCUCAAUACUUCACAUGAUUGAUUAUGACCACUCUUAUACACACAUUUAUCUAACAUUAGAAACUUUCAAAAGACAACAGUAAUAUGUGAGUUAAUCACUCACAAUGAGAACAAAUUAUAACUAAGACAGGAUUAAAACAGCCAAAGGAAAAGUAUAUGAUAGCCAUUUACAUAUGGUAUGUACUUUUAAAGUUUGGCUUAAACAUUAAUAUUGGUGGUAUAACACAGAUAAGGGAAUUUGCUAGAAUGACAUUUGCCAAUGAGUUUGUAAGGUGAUGAGGCUCAGAACCAGACAGGGUGAGAUGCACAUAUACCCCAUACAAUGAGUUACUUCUACAACUGUAUCUUUAAAACUUUCCCUUAGGCAUUAAAUUGAUUUGUGCUCACAUUUAUAACAUGAGAUGUUUAAUAUUUGUUUGUUGCUUUUUAGAAGACAAUGAAAAGUUCCUUUUGGUAAGAAGGUUGAUUGGGUAUGGUAUUUGGGUAAUUAAGCUUAGUACUGGAACAAAUAUCUUCUUUAUAUGAGCUAGCUCCUCCAUAGCAGUACUAAUGAUGCUUUAGAGAAGUAAACCUGAAGACCAUGCUAAGUUGUGGAUUCUGCAUGUUUAUUAAUAAAUUUGAGAAUCAAGAUGUCUUACCUAGUUUAAUAAUGGCAUGCAUUAUUUACAUAAAUUCAAAGUUCCUGUUGGAGUCAAUGCCAGUUCCAGGAAGGAAAAAGUCCCAUGUGAUAUGGGUAACAUAAACAUAUAUUUGAGGCAGAGGGAGCCAUGGCAUCCUCUAAAGAACCAAUAGCUAUUGAUUAUUUAAAUGAAGCGCUAGGUAAAAUUCUUCCAUUAAAAAUGUGUUUGUUAUCACAGGUUAUCGCUAUACUAUGUGUCCAUUUCUUAAUUUUCAUCAUUUCUCUCACUUGUACUUCUUAGCAAUAAAUAAUCCUCAAGACACCUCAAUACCCCUCUUCUAGAGAGAGAAUUAAUUGAAAAAUUCUGUAGAGUUCAGCAACCUGCUGGAACUUACAAAUUGUCAAACAGCCAAGUGAGACCAUCCUACUCUUAGGGACUCUUGAGUAAAAAGUGCUGGAAAGAAUGGAAGUGCUCUCAAAUGUUUGUAUAGUGCCAGUCUCCAAGAGAAAUUUUUGACAUUUUCAGGCAAUCUUCCCCAUGAAACAUGACAAAGAAAUAUCUUAGAUUGGAUUUGGACUUUUUACAUUUCCUCUUAAAUAUCACGAAGGAUAGGAUACUUAAUUGAGUAACAUAUGCUCCUAAACCUUUUUGUACUAAAUCUACUGUAACUGAAUGUGGCCAAGGAAGUCCUGAUUGUGAUUCUAUCAGUGGAUCCCUGAACAAGUCAUCAUUCUUACAGAGUACAAACAUUUUGUUGUAUAUUUUGGGUCAGACCUCAAACACAGGUGUAAGCAGCCAAUCACAAAAGCUUUGUAAGUUAAUCUAAUAAACUUAACUGUUCCCUAGAAAGGACAGUGUUGGAAUUCUCUCAGUAUGUUGUUAGAAUGCAAUGUGGUUGCUGGACACUACUUAACCUCCAUUUAAUUGGAGAACAAAUUCAUGUAUCUAUGCAUAUCAAAUAUAUUGUACACAUUGGGUUUAUAUUUUUAGAAUAAAUUAAAUUAUAUUUCACAUAUUCUUUUCUUCCUCCAUGUCUCCUUUAUUCCAUUCUUGCUUGUUUUUAAAAUGUGUUUCUGCAUUUUUUCAUACAUGUAUAUGUAUAUAUACAUAUACAUAUACAUAUACAUAUACAUAUACAUAUACAUCAUAUACAUAUACAUAUACAUAUACAUACACAUACACAUACACAUACACAUACACAUACACAUACACAUACGUAUACGUAUACAUAUACAUAUACAUAUACAUAUACAUAUACAUAUACAUAUACAUAUACAUAUACAUAUACAUAUAUGUGCAUGUUCAUCAUGUUUAUUUUAAGACAUAAAUAUAAGCUUUGAGUCAAUAUAAUAUUAUAUAUGUACGGUUUUGGGGUAUAUCUUUGGGUGUUCAAAAUGAAAUACAUGUUCUUCCUUUUGUAGGAAAUAACUACUGCUUUUACCCUUCCUUGAGUACUUGAAAUAUUCUAUAGGGUUUAAAGUACCCUAAGAUUUUUGGGUCUACUUUUGUAUCCUAAUAUUGGCUCUGUCUCCAUCAGCUGCUGGCUCAGCCUCUUGGAGGACAACCAUGCUUGUCUCCGAUCUGUAAGCAUAGUUAUAGUGUAAGGGCUUGGACCCUUCCCUUGAGAUGGAUCCCAAGUUAGGCCAGUCACUGGGUCUUCUUUUCUUUGGUUUCUUAUCCAUGUUUGUCUCUGUAGUACAUUUAGACAGGAGUAAUUAUGGGUCAAAGUUUUUGACUGUGAAAUGGAAACCCCACCCAUACACUUGAUGCUCUGUCUUUCUACUGUAGGUAGAUUUUCUACAAAUUCCCUCUCCCCAUUGUUGGGCAUUUCAUCUAAUGUCCCGCUCUUUGAUUCCUGAGAGCCUCUCAUCUCCCCAAUCUCUGGUACACUCUAGAAAUUCCACCACCUCCUAAAUCCUGAGGUUACCUGUCCCCAUUAUUUAUGCUGGUCUUCAGUGCUUCUCACCUGACCCCUGCCAUUACCUGGUCAUGUUCUCCUUUUACCCUGUUCCUCUCCUCUCCUUCCCAGGUCCUUCCUUCCCUCAGCACCCCAUGAUUGCUUACUUCUCCCUCAAAAAUGGGAUUGAAGCAUUCUUACUUGGGCCCUUCAGCUUGUUAACCUUUGUGAGUUCUGUGGAUUUUGUCCUGGGUAUUCUGUUUAUUUUUAGGUACUCUCCAUAUAUUAGUGAGUACAUACCAUGCAUCUUUUUUUUGAGUGUGAGUUGCCUUACUACGAAUGAUAAUUUCUAGUCCCAUCCCUUUGCCUGCAAAACUAAUGAUGUCCUUGUUCUUAAUAACUGAAUAGUAUUCCAUUGUUUAAAUGAACCACAUUUUCUAUAGGAUAUUUAUGACUUUUUAUCUUCUACAGUUAAAGCCCUCCUGUUUUACCAUUGUCCACAUCUUAUCAUUUGUAACUCCUGUGUUCUGUCCACUCUGAUAACAAUUUAACCAGCUAAGUUAAUCUUCACUUCCAUAACUAUUUAUUAUGAUCUACAAGAAGAAAAUAAAGGCAAAUAGAAGGCUACACAGCUAAAUAAGGCAAAUAAUACCUGACUUCUGAAGAUGUCACUAAAAUAGUUUGCAAGGAGAAAAUACUAGUUUUGAGGCUGGCAUCAAAAAUCUAAUAAUAAGGGGAACACAAGGAUACACAGGGCCCCAAAAUAAUCUCUGAAUUUCAGUCUUCGCAUGAGCAUAUGUUCAAGUUUUGUUCAUAGCAGGGAAUAAACUCAGUGAUCCUGUAGGUAAGCAUAUCUAGUAAAAGAGGUCAUAGUAUGUGCUUUUUAUAUCAGAUAAAAGCGAAGAAUCUUUAACAUGUUGAGAAUUUCAACUCGAAUCAUACAUAUAUACAAAAUACCUUGUAUACAUGGGAAAACACACAUACACACACACGCACAGAGCGAUAGAGGCAAUAGAGUCACACAUUCAAACACGUGUAGUAAGGUAUGAGAGCUUUAAUUGACUUUUAAAAAGAAUUAUUCUACAAGUAAUAUUUUAAUCUAGACUGAGUUGUAGACUCUUUGUACCAUAUUAUAAAUCCUUUGCUAUAUUUUUCGAGAUUAAUCUUGUGUGAAAAAUAUAUUGCAUUGAUGAAAAGCUAGAUGAUUUUCCUGAAAAAAUAAUACUUAGUAACUUAACAUGUAAUCACGCUCAUAUCAUAUAUCAGUAACAAUAUGGUGUAUGAACAUUUAGAUUCCAUGGAUUUAAUAGAUUAAUGAAUAUAAUGAUUUAGAAUCCAUUGGUGUAUAAACAGGUCCUUUAAUGAGGAAAGAAAUAAGGACACAGACAUAAAGCAACCGCAUUUAUAGAGGCAGAACUGAAAGAAUUAAGCACAGAGUAACUAAAGGAUUGACAAGAUGAUUAGAGGACAAAGCAACUAUGUGGACCUGUCACUGUAAUCAUAUAGGUUCUGUUUGCAGUCAGUGCUGUCUGAUGGGCAGUACAUGGCCAGGAACCAUGUUAACAGGGAAAGGUUGAAAUCCAUGAGGUUUCACUCUGUAGACCACUACUAUCUACAGAGCUAGUUUGGAUCAUCCUUGUUUGGAUGAUGUCAAAUCACUGGAUACAUUCCGCACACGUUAUUCCUAGCAUUAAUGAAUACUCUAUGUUCUAGGGUCCACAGAACAGUGGUGCUGUAAAUAAUAGUGAUCAAGCUGGCAGGUAAAAUAUAUUUCCUUUGUAUAUAAUGAUGUCCUUAUAACUGGGAAUACAUGCAGGAAUACAUUGCUAUUUUAAUGGCCUUAAAGUCCAAACUGAAUUUUAAUAAUUUCAGAAGUCCUUCCCUGUAUUUUAGUUCAAAUUCAACAGACAAUUUUCAGAACUAUAUUUCCAUGAUUGUCAAUAUCCACAGUAGGUAACUUAUGUGACCUUGAUGCAUUAGUGUUAUAUGUGCAUAUUUUGCUUUUAAAUUUCCAGUCAUAGCUGUAGCUCAAUCUUUCAUCAUUAAUUUACUUGUAAACCCGAUAUAUAAUAGGGACUGUACUAAGCACUUAUUGUAGCUAUUUACUCUGUGUUACUCCCAGACAGAAAUAUUUCUACACCUAGUUGAAAAGCAUACAAAAGGAAAUGUUGGGAGUAAGUUGUAUAAAUUAAAAAAUGGCAAAAGACCACUAACAUAGGAAGUUAGGUAGCUAUUGCUUAGCACAUUAAAAAAAAAACAAAA